GACGGGGCCCGCACAAGCGGUGGAGUAUGUGGUUUAAUUCGACGCAACGCGACAGAACCUUUACCUGGUCUUGACAUCCCGAGAAUUUUCUGGAAACAGAGAAGUGCCUCGCAAGAGGAAUUCGGAGACAGUGCUGCAUGGCUGUCGUCAGCUCGUGUCGUGAGAUGUUGGGUUAAGUCCCGCAACGAGCGCAACCCUUGUCUUUAGUUGCCAUCAUUAAGUUGGGCACUCUAAAGAGACUGCCGGUGUCAAACCGGAGGAAGGUGGGGAUGACGUCAAGUCCUCAUGGCCUUUAUGACCAGGGCUACACACGUACUACAAUGGCAGGUACAAAGGGCAGCCACUUAGCGAUAAGGCGCGAAUCCCGUAAAACCUGUCUCAGUCCGGAUUGGAGUCUGCAACUCGACUCCAUGAAGUUGGAAUCGCUAGUAAUCGCAGAUCAGCAUGCUACGGUGAAUACGUUCCCGGGCCUU
rnacentral:rRNA from 1 species